UAGCUCAUUGCCCUGAAGUGGUUUCCGCUCCUGGUAUCCGAGAGUGCGUUUUCCUGAUCUUGUUAUUGAUAUUCCUGGUAUUUGACUUGGGAUAUUCCUGACUAUUCUAAUUUCUGGUUUACCUGACUUGGCAUUCUUAUCAAUCUUGUGUAUUUCCGGCUCCCUUGACCUUGGCUUUCCCUUGACUAUUCUCUAUUUUUCAAUGUAUUAACCUGGUCAUUCUAAGGACCGGUUUACAUUCUGUCUGUUUUUCUGUUCUAUGUAGGUGUUACAUAGUUCUGCGUGUUGGAUCAUA